GGAAACAGGUUAAUAUUCCUGUACUUGGUGUUACUGCGAAGGGGGGACGGAGAAGGCUAUGUUAGCCGGGCGACGGUUGUCCCGGUUUAAGCAUGUAGGCGGAGGUUCCAGGUAAAUCCGGUACCUUAUUAACGCUGAGGUGUGAUGACGAGGCACUACGGUGCUGAAGUAACAAAUGCCCUGCUUCCAGGAAAAGCCUCUAAGCAUCAGGUAACAUCAAAUCGUACCCCAAACCGACACAGGUGGUCAGGUAGA
rnacentral:rRNA from 1 species